GAAAGAUUGGGCUAUUGAUGAGGCCCUAGAAAGCAAAUGGCGAGUGAAGCGCCAUGGGGAUGACAAAAGAUAUGCAACUCCUACGACGGUUUUUGCCUUCCUAUGUAUGACGUUUUGUUUCGAGAGUUACAUGACAAACUUCCCUUAACUAGUUUUGAGGUUAGGUUCCCGAGUCAUUUGCAGAUGGCCCUUUCUCAAUUUCAUCCUCUAAGUUGGGCGCUGGUGACAACCUUUCAAUAUUUGUCUGAAUACUAGAACAACGCUCCCGCUAUUCGUUUAUUUUUUGUCUUGACCCCAGAAGUUUUCGAGCGAAAGAUCAUUUUUGACGUUAUAAGUAUCCUUGAGGGCUUGUUGAAGAGGAAAUACAAGCUCAAAGUGCUAGAAUUUGCACAAUUGCUCUUCUCACACAGUUAAUUACUCAAUGGCACGUGGAAAAGACAUUAAUAACUUCGACGACAGUUAACAACCGUCAGCCUACCAACAACACUUAACUGCCGCUCCUAGAAAAUGGCUCUUAUCAAGAAAGCCUACUUCCAUUGAAAAUAAUAAGUUAUGUUUUGGUGUAAUUUUGUGGACUUUUAAGCCUUCUUAUCUAUUAGUGUGUAAUAUUUUAUCAAAAACUCGUAAUGUUGCACUUUUGUUGAAUUUCAAUUAUCAAUGUAUUGUUAAUUUAAUGUCGAAUUUGUGUUACAUGAUUGAACUAUGAAUGAUUAUGUUAUGGUGUUGGUGAUGUUAA